CUAACAUGCCAUCCCUUACCCAUCCUGACUCAUGCAUGUCUGUCCCCAGUGUCAGUGUCAGAUGGUAGCGUUUGUCACAGCCAGCCUGCACUCUAAGCCUCUGCUUUAUAGCAGGGUUCACUGUCCGUUGUGUGUAGUCCAUGAGAGUUGCUGCUGGCUUUUCCCACUAAUCAUUGUCCCCCAGGGAACACAGGCAGAGCCUGGGCACAGAUUAUGAUGCUAAUUUGGUUCCAAAUAAUCGAUUUUAUAAAAGAAAAGGAAGAGAGACAUGGAAGAAGGGAAGAGAGAAGAGAGAAAAGACCAAUUAUUUGCCCAGGCAAAGCCCACUCUGGUUUCUGAAGCUCUGUGGAAGCUAAUCGCAAUGCUUGAUUAAAAUGUCCCAUCUCCCUAGAUCGGCACUCCCAUCCUGCCUCUGGCUCUGGGCUUUGCUCAUCCCAGAGAGGGUAACACUGCCUUUGGAUCUUUCUUGUAUGGCUUUCCCCCUGCAUACCUUCCAGGACCACAUGAGUUCUCGUAAGGAAAUACAAGUCCACCCCCAGCUUUGACAGGUGAAGCCCUCUGGAAGGCUGGCUGUGUGGUAGGAGCCAGGAUGACACUGAGAUGUCCUUCCAAAUCAGGACCCGAACAGCUGAGGAGCUCCAGUUACCCAAGAAAGAAAGAGACAGAAGGAUAGAGUCAAGGGGCUCACCUUGGCUAACUUGUAGGGUAGGGGCAGAGCUGAACUGAGAGAUGGGAGACUGUCAACUCCUUUAAUAUUGCUUGACAUGUCCAAUUAAUGUAGAUGAUUACAUGUGUCAUUACAUUUUUAAGUAAAUUCAAGAAAUAAAGGUUUUUUU